UUCACCAAAGAUGAAACCUACAAAACC
rnacentral:piRNA from 1 species